rnacentral:rRNA from 1 species
UGGGGAAUAUUGCACAAUGGGCGCAAGCCUGAUGCAGCCAUGCCGCGUGUAUGAAUAAGGCCUUCGGGUUGUAAAGUACUUUCAGCGGGGAGGAAGGGAGUAAAGUUAAUACCUUUGCUCAUUGACGUUACCCGCAGAAGAAGCACCGGCUAACUCCGUGCCAGCAGCCGCGGUAAUACGUAGGGUGCAAGCGUUAAUCGGAAUUACUGGGCGUAAAGCGCACGCAGGCGGUUUGUUAAGUCCGGUGUGAAAUCCCCGGGCUCAACCUGGGAACUGCAUCUGAUACUGGGAAGCUUGAGUCUCGUAGAGGGAGGUAGAAUUCCAGGUGUAGCGGUGAAAUGCGUGGAGAUCUGGAGGAAUACCGGUGGCGAAGGCGGCCCCCUGGACGAAGACUGACGCUCAGGUGCGAAAGCGUGGGGAGCAAACAGG